UACGUAGGGGGCAAGCGUUAUCCGGAAUUACUGGGCGUAAAGCGCACGCAGGCGGUUUGCCAAGUUCGGGGUGACAGUUUCCGGCUCAACCGGGAAAGGACUUUGAAAACUGGUAGACUUGAGAGCGAGAGGGGAACGUGGAAUUCAGGUGGAGUAGUGAAAUGCGUAGAUAUCUGGAGGAACACCAAAGGCGAAGGCAAUGUUCUGGCUCGUUUCUGACGCUCAGGUGCGAAAGCCAGGGGAGCGAACGGG
rnacentral:rRNA from 1 species